rnacentral:rRNA from 1 species
CGAACGGGGUUAUCAUUUUUGAAGCGAUUAGCUUGCUAAGAGUGGAACAGUUGAUAACUUAGUGGCGGACGGGUGAGUAACGCGUGGGUAACCUGCCUUACACAGGGGGAUAACACUUAGAAAUAGGUGCUAAUACCGCAUAAGCGCACAGUCCCGCAUGGGACAGAGUGAAAAACAUUAGCGGUGUAAGAUGGACCCGCGUCUGAUUAGCUUGUUGGCGGGGUAACGGCCCACCAAGGCGACGAUCAGUAGCCGGCCUGAGAGGGUGGACGGCCACAUUGGGACUGAGACACGGCCCAAACUCCUACGGGAGGCAGCAGUGGGGGAUAUUGGACAAUGGGGGAAACCCUGAUCCAGCGACGCCGCGUGAGUGAAGAAGUAUUUCGGUAUGUAAAGCUCUAUCAGCAGGGAAGAAAGAAAUGACGGUACCUGAGUAAGAAGCCCCGGCUAACUACGUGCCAGCAGCCGCGGUAAUACGUAGGGGGCAAGCGUUAUCCGGAAUUACUGGGUGUAAAGGGAGCGUAGACGGUAAUGCAAGUCUGGAGUGAAAGGCGGGGGCCCAACCCCCGGACUGCUCUGGAAACUGUGUAACUGGAGUGCAGGAGAGGCAGGCGGAAUUCCUAGUGUAGCGGUGAAAUGCGUAGAUAUUAGGAGGAACACCAGUGGCGAAGGCGGCCUGCUGGACUGUAACUGACGUUGAGGCUCGAAAGCGUGGGGAGCAAACAGGAUUAGAUACCCUGGUAGUCCACGCCGUAAACGAUGAUUACUAGGUGUGGGUGGGUAUGGACCCAUCGGUGCCGCAGCAAACGCAGUA